UUCAUGACGAGUGGCGCUGUCAGCAGUACAUUGUUGUAAAGUUGCCUGGUGAUUCGGAAGCCUCGUUACGAAAAACUCGGAACUUACUUACCUGUUCCUGAAUGCUCACCGAUAGUGCAACUUUCAUACUAAUUGUCGAAUAAACGAGAACAAAACUAAGGGUAGCAGAAUGAGGGAAGAAAAAAAAAAAAAGGAAGAAGGUGAGAGAACGGGCACCGCGCCAUAAAUCGUCGUUUAACCUUAAAAAUCGUCGUUGCUAAUGGACAUUUGCUGUCGAACCUCGAGAAAUCGUUGCGCUCGUAGCCGCGAGAAUUCUUUCAACGACAUUGUGCGAAGUGCCGCUCGACAAAGAGAGGAUAAAGACUUGUGUCUUACUGAUUAUCCAGUUCGUGUACUAUACUCGGCUUUAAAUACAUGCGAGUCAACCCGGACGAGAUAAAGCGUUUGUUUUGCGCAUGCUUGCAUGAAAUGCGUUCAGGAUGCAGGAUACUUUGAGGAAGCUUGUUUUAUUCCAUAGAGAGACGCAAGGAAACACGGAACGAAGCGGGCAAUCGUGUGUCAUCAGCGGGCAAGGGCGAUAAUGAAGAGAGAAGAGGAGUCGGCGAUCCUCGCGGUGUAAAGGCUCGAGUUUGAGUGUGGCGCGUGCCACGGCGUCCUUCACCGCAUCAACAUAUGGUGCCUUCGUAACGGAGACUGAAAAAAAAUAAUAACAAAUGUAUCCUCGUUGCGAAUAAAAAGAAGAAACAAAAGAGAAAUUUAUACAUAUACUUACGUUCAUUCAAUCAGUUCGACUGAGAUCUCUGCAUUAGAACGAAAGGAGAGUUUAAACGAAGGGAAAAUUAUUGGAAUGCAACGGUCGAGACGAAUCGCCUUGGGACAAUUAGAGAUAUCGAUCGGGAUCUCUAUCCAUGGUUGCCG